rnacentral:tRNA from 1 species
CGGGGUGUAGCGCAGCUUGGUAGCGCAUCCGCUUUGGGAGCGGAGGGUCGCAGGUUCAAAUCCUGUCACCCCGACCG